rnacentral:rRNA from 1 species
AGGACGAACGCUGGCGGCGUGCCUAACACAUGCAAGUCGAACGAGGUCCAUCCAGUGGCAACACUGGUGAAGACCUAGUGGCGAACGGGUGAGUAACACGUGAGGAACCUGCCCCGAAGACCGGGAUAACUCUCCGAAAGGAGUGCUAAUACCGGAUACCCCCAUCUGAUCGCAUGGUCGGAUGAGGAAAUGGAUUCCGCUUCGGGAGGGCCUCGCGGCCUAUCAGCUUGUUGGUGAGGUAACGGCUCACCAAGGCAUCGACGGGUAGCUGGUCUGAGAGGACGAUCAGCCACACUGGGACUGAGACACGGCCCAGACUCCUACGGGAGGCAGCAGUGGGGAAUCUUGCGCAAUGGGCGAAAGCCUGACGCAGCAACGCCGCGUGGGGGAUGAAGGCUCUUGGGUUGUAAACCCCUUUCAGUAGGGACGAAAAUGACGGUACCUACAGAAGAAGCCCGGCAACUACGUGCUAGCAGCCGC